GGCACGCCAAAUUGCCUAGAUCUGACAAAAGUUUACUUAAGUAAGGACACCAUUUACGAAUAGUUUUCAUGAUAUUUUUGCUAGACAUGCAAAAACUAAAGCCUCAUCUUCUGUUUUAUUUAAAGUUGUAUCCAUGAGCGACCUCUCAUUCUGGAAAAAGUGAGUCAGAAAUAUUGACUUGCUGUAGUUGCUUGCAACUACACUUACACUCUUCAGUUGCUUGCUAGCCAGGCAUUUGUUUUCCAUACUGGUUUGCUGAAAGUCUACAUUACAGAAAGCUGAAGUCUACAUCAAGAUUCCCAACCUCCAGUAUGGUUCAUGUUCACAAUUAACAGAAGUACGUUAUUUCUUUCUAUAGCAGUAGUGUCUUAGAAAUUGAUAUGCACCAAAACACCACACUAAAAGAACAGUAUUAAUGUUGCAAGUCAAAUUCUUAUAAAUUAUGAAGUUCAAGUGUUUCAAAUUUCUUUUGCCUCCUUAUUUCAGUCUCUUUAUGAGUGAGUUUGCAUUAUGAUAAAUUAUGUUAUUGCUUACUAUUCUUUGCACAGGACCUGUGCCCUAUGGGUUCUUGCCCAGUCAGCCCCACUAUCACACUCCUCACCUCUGAGCUUUUUAAUCAAAAUUCUUGGAAAUCUUGUUCUUGGAAGUGACUGAAGUGCUUUAGCUGACGCUUUCCCGAGCAAGUCUCUGAGGUAUACGUACAGCAGGGAAUGGUUCCAGAAUGCAAACAAUAAAAACUUAGCAAGGCUAUAAGCAGUUGGGAAUGCGCUCUUCUGUUAAACUAUAGAGAAGACAAACAAGUUUUACUUUUCCUAAGUGAUAUGAGAGCUGUGUUGAACAUAACCUAUCUUGUGCCCAACAAAAGAUAAGAUGUCAGUAUAACUUGCUCACAGUUACAACAUAAACAGCGAAGCAUUAUCUGGGUUUCAAGUUAUUGCUGGCAAACUCCCAUUGUAAUAACCAGCAUUCCAAAUCUAUCCUUUGAUUACAGACCCUGAAAAAGGAAAAACUGCUAAGUCACUUGAAAUGUAGAGUGAAUAUAGAGUAAAAGAUUUAGAGUUAAAUAUUAUCUCUUUCCCCCUUAGCAGCAAGGAGUUCUUAUAGGGAAACUCCCUUCUUUGACUGUCUUUUAGUAACAGUAAUAACAGUUCUUCUGGAAUAAAAAGAGAAGACAAUUGAGCUUUUUUGGAGUUCCUAGCUUUUCUGUUGCUACUCAACCUGAUCCUCUUUCCAGAAGGAAUAAAAGAACGUUCAAAGAAGGGGUCAGAAAAGAGAAACAAGACAGAAAAUGCAGUUUCUGCCUAAGGUAUGACUAAGAUAAUCACAACUGGAGAACCUCAGGCACAGCGUACAUUCUGAUCAGAUGUCCAGGGCUGAGACAGGGUUAUAUCAGCACUGAUCACAGCACCUGCUGUCAGCUUCAUUUCGCUUGUUUUACAGUUGCAUUAAAAAAGAUAGAGUUCCAGACUAUGAGAAAAAAGAGGGGAAAAAGUAGAGUGGGAAAGCUCCCCCCCCACUCUUCCCUUUUGCCACCCCAAAUCUCAGGCACAUAAGAGCAGGACCCUAGGUUUUUAGGUGGUGGGGGAGUUCACAUGGUCAAACUGACUUGUUCAGCAUAGCUUGAGCUGGGCAUUUCACAAAAAUGCCCUUCACCCUACAUGGUGGGAGAGCACAUUGUAUUCUUUUCCAACGUAAACAUUUCCUCCAUCUCAAUUCUUUCAGCUCGUGGUAACCUAUGGCUUCACUACAAAUCUUGAAAUUUCAUUAUUGGAACUAAGCAUCAAUUCAGGUCUAUUUUUUAUUGUCCUUUAAUAAUCUUUUUUUGAAUGUAUUGCUUUGUAGGGCAAAAAGUAUACAGGCACCAUAAGGGGCAGGCAUACAAAAGUGAAAAGAGGAGUAAGACAAAAUGAUUGGUUCAUUGUUUAUCUUAGUGUUACUCAACAGUCAACUGAUCAAAUAAAACCAUUCUUCACUGAAGUCUCAGGUUUGUUCAUGGAAUCCUGAUUAUAAAAUGCAAACCUGGCUUUGUAAAAAGACAGAAAAUGUUAAUGACAAGUUCCACUCUGUGUACUUGAGAAUACACUGUUUUUCUUCUCACUGUUAUUCCAUCAGUUAUGUUACAAGUCUUAUUCCCCAGGGAUUUAUACUUAAGAGAUGUGCAGCUUAGAGAAAACUCUGGAUGAGAACAUACUCAAAUUUCCUGACACUAAUUAGAGAUGUCUCUAGAUACAUGUCAGCAUUUGCCGUUGUAAUCCAUCACUAUAUUUUUCUGUUCAAUCUUGCUUUUGCAACUGUCUUUCCUUAAUUUCUUUAUUUGAUGAAAUGAGACGUUUGUCAGAAAAUUCUUCUUCCACAGGUUUAUGUGAUUAUAUAUUGUUCUGGUUCUAAAUUAUAGCUCAUAUAAUUAUAGCAGCAUUUUCUGCAUUACAAAUUUUUACUAUUUCUCAUUCAAUGAUAAGAUCGAGAAAAUUUUCACUUGGAACCACAAAAUAACUGCUGUGUCCUUUUCAAAGUCAAAGAUUCAUCCAAACACAACUGUGACUCCUUCAGGAUAAGAAUGCUGUAUAGCUUCUAAUAAGAUGGAGUUCUGAUUCUAUUUUAUAACUUAAUUUCACAGUCAAAAAUAGCAUAAAAAGAGGCCUCCUGUAAAAAUGAAUCCUUAUCUGAUCGUACAAAGUUGUAAAUUUUACGCCCAAGCGACACUGAACUGCAUCCAUUACAUGAUGUUGUAACUCCAGUAGAUGUCCAUGUACUCAAACUCCGUUCACUGAAAAACUAGACUUCCUAAAGAACUGCACUGGGAAGGAAAUUCCCAGUAGGGGUUCCUUUGUGAGAUGAACUUUUUUGCAAAGACUUAUUUCAUCAUGGUAGCCAAAACCCAGGAAGAUAAUGUAGAGAAACACAGUGGAGUACAAAUCUAACUCAAGUAAUCAAGAUAGACAUCUGUGUGCAGCUAUAAAUGCAACAUGGCUUAAGGGACCAGUGGUAGGAACCUGUGCCUAAAAGCAGCUCCCAGACCCUAGAUGACUAUGAUGAUGCCUAUGAUUUUAUGAUUCUAUGACUGCUCAUAAUUCUUUCUCAUACAAGUUUGUUCACUGUUGCACUGUAUCAGAGCUGACCUUGAACACACAUGAACAGACUCCUGGCUGGGAGAAAGAAGCUGCACUCGGCUGAUGCCUGCGAUUCCAGGUAAGAAAAUAAAAAGGAACAGGAAAAAAAAAAGAGAGAAAGGAGGGAAGAAAAGGGGAAGGAAGAGAACAUCUGUGGAAAAAGAGAGGAAAAGGGCCUCAGAUUCUGGAUUCCAAAAAACUGCACUGGAGAAGCUUGUUUUGGAAAGCUGAAAAUAUUAUUGUACACACUGCUUCGGAGGCCCAUGGUGUACCAUAUAUACAAGAGAAGGUGCUACAGGGUUAUUGCAAAGGAAAGAGACAUGAUGUAAGUGACCACUGGAGAUGGCUGGAGAGAGUUAAUGAAUGUUCUGAAGUGGAGGAUCAAGAUUAAGACAUUUUGGGAGACAUUGUCCUGCUUGGUCACUAAGAACUUGCAGCUGAUUUGAAGACUCUGGACUUUCCCAGAAGACACACUGGUCUACAGGGCAGCUACAGCUUUUGAUCUUACUCUCUUCAAAAAGAUAAGGCUGCACUCCAAAGACAGGCCUCCUCCUUUGCUAAAAGCUCUCUUUGUGUGCUCAAAUUGAAGAAUGAGAAUGUACAAGAUGGAAGAUCAGCAUGGAGGACAUCUUUUGCAGCGCUGAAUCAGAGGUGGGAGAUGUACUCUACCCGAGAAAAGUUUCUCUCAUGGAGGACAGAAGUGUUGGUGAAUGUAGGGUGUGUUUGAGAUUUUAAAGGGGAGAUGGGCUAUCUGUUGCUGUGUGUAAAACUGGAGGAAGAAAAUAUGUCCCAGCUCAGACUAUGCUCAAUAGAGGGAGAGACCAGUUCCCAGUUCCCAGCUAGGUCCAGCCUAUUAUUUCCAUUUAUUAAUUAGGUGAAUAAUAUCCUAUUAUUAGGUCCAGCAGAAUUAUUUAGGCUGGCACCCAGUGCAGGAUAUUAGAGAGCAGUUAAAUCCUCUCAGAGAGCUUCGGUAAAAGGCAAUCUAUAAAAACAAAUCUUACAUUUGGUCAUCAUUAAUACGCUGGAAAAUAAAUGAAGGUAUAACUAUGCUCUGCAAUUUUUAUUUCAUUUAUGAAGACUGUGCCACAUGGCAUACAUGCUCUGUCUGUGCUGUUAAGCACAUGAUGUGAGAAAUGGUGGUGUGAGGACUUAGAAUGGAAGAAGAAAGACAUAGUCCAUGCUGAAGCAAAGCAGAAAAUAUUUUAGCUUUAUUUUAUGAAUUCAUAGAUUUCUUAGAGGUCUGCAUGGAGCUUUCAUAGAGGUUGAUUUAGAGAUCAGGCCUAGUGACAAGUCCCAGGUUAAUUCUGUAGCAGCUGCCAAAUCCCUCAGUAAGGCACACUGUACAACAAUGGCUACUCUAGUCUCUAAAGAAAUAUUUUAGUAAUGUUUCUGGAGUGGCUAGUGUAGUGUACAGUGAAAAUGCCUGUGCCUCUGCCAGUAUGGAGCCAAACAAGACUUACCUAAGCCUGGGUUACCCUAGAACUGAUCUUCUUACCAAACUCCCAAAUAAAAUGCAAAAUAUUACAAAUUCCUCUUUCCUUACUUUUUAAAAAUUCAAUGAAAUUUUUAGAAGAGAGGGGAAAAUUAUAAGUGAAGGGAAAAUGUUGCAUGAUUCCUUAGCUAGACACCUGGAAAUCAGUCAGCCCUUGAGACAAUCUUGGAAUAGAUAUGUGAUUCCUUGAUCUUCUUUAUCAACAAG
rnacentral:lncRNA from 1 species